AGUUGUUUAGUUCAGACAAUUGAAAAAUAUGAAUAUAAAUAAAAGAACGGAGUUUGUAAAUUAAUUAACUAAUUAGUUUGAAGAAAAAUUAAUUAACUCAAGUCAGUUUACAAGUUUGGGGUUAACCUAUAUUCUGUAUGGAACAAACGGGACAGUUUGAAAAGCAAGAUUAAGUGUAAAAAGACGUUUUGAACCUGUGGUAAUAGUCUGGGAAACAAGUGUUCCUUAAGCUGAAGAUUGAAAAAUUAUACACAAGCUUACGCCUAAUGAGAAUGGGAAAAUUCCAACAGUGUUAAAUGAAUUAGGCGUCACGAUCGUUAACGUCGGAGCCAGGAGGCAAGAUAUUGUACUGAAAACAUUCACAGAAUCCAAACUUAAUCCUAUAAGCAUCUUCUCUCUAUACAAUUUUAUCUCUUCGUGUGCAUAGAAACCUAACAAAAGCUCAUAAUAAUUUCUCAGUGAACAAAAAAUUUUAAUAAAGAAGAAUUGAUGAUGCAUAAGUUAAUUACAAAG